GGAUCAGUUGAUCGGUCGUGCCUCGGUACGUACUGGUCAAAUUGAUUCCUACCUUCUGACGAACCACGAUGUCAUUAAUUUGGUGUCGCGGGAAAUCAGGACUGUUACUUUGAAAAAUUAGAGUGUUUAAAGCAGGCUCGCGCUUGAAUACAUUAGCAUGGAAUAAUGAAAUAGGACGUUUGAUUCUAUUUUGUGGUUUCUAGGAUCGACGUAAUGAUUAAUAGGGAUAGUUGGG
rnacentral:rRNA from 2 species